rnacentral:rRNA from 1 species
CCUACGGGGGGCAGCAGUGGGGGAUAUUGCACAAUGGGGGAAACCCUGAUGCAGCGACGCCGCGUGAGUGAAGAAGUAUUUCGGUUCGUAAAGCUCUAUCAGCAGGGAAGAAAAUGACAGUAACUGACCAAGAAGCCCCUGCUAACUACGGGCCAGCAGCCGCGGUAAUACGUAGGGGGCAAGCGCUAUCCGGAUUUACUGGGUGUAAAGGGAGCGUAGGCGGUUAUGUAAGUCUGGGGUGAAAGCCCCGGGCCCAACCCGGGGACUGCUUUGGAAACUGUGUAACUGGAGUGCAGGAGGGGAGAGCGGAAUUCCAGGUGUAGCGGUGAAAUGCGUAGAUAUCAGGAGGAACACCAGCGGCGAAGGCGGCCUGCUGGACUGAAACUGACGUUGAGGCUCGAAAGCGUGGGGAGCAAACAGGAUUAGAUACCCGAGUAGUC